rnacentral:lncRNA from 1 species
CCGAAUAUUAUGUCCAUCGAGCAUACGUUAGAGAGGAUGGAUCUCGUUCACUCCUUGGUGGAGAAGGUGAAGAUCGAUCUCGUCACAGGAAUCGUGACACGUCAUCCGAUCUCCGCGAGGAACCUCGAUUUCGCGGUGAUCAAUCCGGCGUUUCUCGGGAGGCGGAGCCGGUACGUGUACGCGGCGAUCGGGGAUCCGAUGCCGAAGAUCUCCGGAGUGGUGAAGCUCGACGUGAGUAAAGGCGAUCGGGAUGAUUGCACGGUGGCGCGUAGAAUGUACGGUCCAGGUUGUUACGGCGGCGAACCGUUUUUCGUAGCGAGGGAUCCUGGUGAUCAGGAGGCAGAGGAGGAUGACGGUUACGUGGUGACAUAUGUUCACGAUGAGGUGGCUGGAGAGUCGAAGUUUUUGGUGAUGGACGCGAAGUCGCCGGAGCUUGAAAUCGUCGCGGCCGUGAGGUUGCCGCGAAGGGUUCCGUACGGAUUCCACGGACUAUUUGUAAAGGAGAGCGACGUUAAUAAGCUUUAACUAAAACAAAGGAUUAAGUGUUUAAUCACGCUCCGUUUAAUGGAGACAAAGCAUAUAUAGUGUUGUUAUAUUUGAAACAUUAUAGUAUACAUAAUUUGGCGGUGGUAGUUUGUAUACAAAAUUAUCAAACCUUAUAUUAAAUUUUUUUUCUUUCUUUUUUUUUUUUUUUACAACAAAAGGCUAAGAAACUAGGAAGGUUCCUGAUCCGAGAGCCACCUCGGGGGAACAGAAUCAACAUAAACCAUAGCAGAUGGCGAAGUCCUAGCACCGCGUGCCAGUUUGUCCGCCAGAGUAUUUUGCGCCCUCGGUAUAUGCUGGAUAGUAAAGUUAAGAAAGAAUUCCUUACAUCGUAGAAACUCCUCCAUGUGUGUAGUGAACGCCGGCCAUUCUGUCGGUGUAGACACCAUCUUCACCAGUUGAGAACAGUCUGUUGCAAACACCACCUCUGAAAUUUGUAGGGUCUUCAUGCACUCCAUCGCCCAUAUCAAAGCUUCACAUUCAGCAUGUAAAGGUGAUAGACUCCUGCGAAUAGACAUUGCACCCAUCAUAGUAUCAGUUGAUCCAUCUUUUUUGUAGACCCAUCCCUGUCCUGUAUAAGGAUCAUGUUCCUUCCAUGCUCCAUCUAUAAAACACUUGUUAACUCCAUGUGGAAAAUGAUUCUCUGCAAAAUGUAAAUAUUCACGAUUUAUAGUCUCCUUUAUCUGGGCUUCAGCCCACAAAACACCUUCUAUCUCCGCGAUCCGAAGAGUGUCCAAAGGGGUUUUUAUCUGAUUCUUAAAAACUUUAGCAUUUCUAUUCUUCCAGAUAUACCACAAUAUCCAUGGAAAAUAUUUCAAAUCUGGUUCCUUGGGUAAUCGCCAGAAAAGAUAAUCCAUAUUUGUGAAAAGUGAUGAGGUGGGAAAAACUCCUGGGCACGAGGGAAUAUUAGAUAAAGCCCACGUUUGUAGUGCUAAUGGACAUUCUUCCGAUCAUGAGUAAUAAACAAUUGAUUCCCCAGAGUAAACAGAGUCCAAAACUUCCUUUUUUUUUGGAAAUGGUUUAUCAUGUUUUGACACUCAGCCUUUUGAACCUAGACCAGUGCCUAUAUAACUAUAAUCAUUUCCAAACCAAAUUUUUUUCCUAAAUUAAAUUUAAACCAGUUAUCAGGACUGUACUUCUACUGUGUAUCCAAUCUGAAAUAAAAAUAUGUGAAUUGUAAUGGAAAUGUUUUGUGGUCGUUUUUCUCCAUGUACAACCAUGAGAAAACGUUCUGGUUUACAGGCACAGUACAAAGUAGAAGCUAGUAAAUUAUGAAUGAUUAGCAUAAGGUAACUGAACUUAGAAUAUUCAACGAAGCAAAACAAAAAUAAACUUAUAAACAUUUCCUCCUCAACAUAUGAAAGGAAAUAAUAUAGGCAAUUAUAUCCAUGCAUUAUUUGUUUCAAACAUUUGUAGGUAUAGGAAAAAUAACAUAGUAACCGUCAUAUUUGUUCUUUGAAAUUUUGAAACUAAAAGUAACGCAUUCAUACUUGAAACGGAAAAAAAAGUAACGCAUACAAGAGAUAACUAUUCUUGCUCAAUCGGUUGAUGCAGAUUUAGAGAAAUUUCAUCUUCCAUCUAAAGUCUAAACCUUCCUCUUAUACGGAUUGGAUAAUCAAACUGGGAUUAAAUGUAAUCUUGCGUUGAUGGUCAAAAAAGUAACUAGGGUUGCAUAAAUUUGAUUUAAAAUAUAAGUUUAGUGAUGAGUUAAGUUUGAAAAAAAAAAGGAAAACAAAAGAAUUUAAUUAGUAUAGUUUUUGAAAUGAACACGUUCUAGAACGUAGGAAAACACACAAAAUCUGUGCAUGCAUCUGGUCAUGCAUGCAUAAAAAAGAAGAAUGUAAAUAUUGACCUCCAGGCUCCAAGUAUGAAGUUGCAACACUUGUACUAGAGUAUGUUUUGUUCCUCCUUUUAUGACCUUCGAGUUUUGAUGAUUUUGCUGUCUGAACAAUUAAUUUAUUCACUAAUUAUCUUAUAAAGCCCGACUAAAAUGACCGAAUCUAUGUACUAGAAUGCUUUGUUCCUCCUUUUAUACAAGGCGACACUGUGUGAGUACUGAGUAGUUUUUGUAUCCUACGUACUCACAAUCACAAUCUUUGGUGGUAUAAACAAUAUUGUCCUUCUAUCCAACAUUAUAGACUUGUGGUUUCCAUAUUUGUAGUACUGAGUUUCCGACCAACGUCUUUAAUCAACAACUACAUACUUUUUUGACAGAUUUACUUCGCGAAUUAUGAACCUGUGAACAAUUUUCUAUUUCUUCAAAUAAAAUCAUUGUAAGAGUGUCCAAUAACGCCGUUCUUGAACUGUUACUUCGACAAAACAAAUUAAAAUAUAUUUGACAAAAUAAUAAUUUUAUUAAUAUUUUGACAAAACAAACAAUCAAAUGUGUAGGUUACCCAAAAUAGACAACCAAAUCUAACAUGAUACUAUUGUGACUAGAUUACUAACUAUUUUUCUCGUAGUAUGUCAUAUUAACUUACGCAAAUAUUACAUGAGCAAAAUAAAAUACUUUCUCAAUUCCAUAAAAAGUAUCAUUUUAAUAUUUUUUCUUAUUACACGAUGAAUGUUAUAGAUUUUCAAUACAACUUAUACUUACAUACUUUUAUCUUGAUAUUAAUUGCAAAUUUUGAUCUUAUAAAUAAUUUUAUUUAUCUCAAAUACUAUAAAUUAAAGAAAUGUAAUUAAUAAUAACAUAAAUGCAGUUCAAUCAUUUUUAAAAUUUGUAUGAAAAAUGUCAAAUCGACACUCCGUGAAAUGGAGUAAAUAUCUUUUUAGGUUUGGAUUAGUAGUUUAUGCUGAAACAUCAACUAGUUUGCUUCACUAGAUACAUAUAUGCAAUGCAAUUGAAUGAUUAUUUCUUUUGAUGAUCUCUAAUAUAUAACUGAUGUGAAUUGAAAGACUUCAUUGUUAGUUUGGCGGGUCUUGUCCAACUCGAAACUUUUGGGUAAGGAUUGGUAGAGUUCUGCAUCUCACUACAGAAGAUAACUUGGUGUAUCUGCAUAGUUGCACUUUUGCAAUAGAGUUAACCUUUUAAUUUAUAACCACGGGGUGGUGGGCUAGGGGUCUUGAGGUAGUUAACACACCAAUACGGACCCGGGUUCGAAUACUCCCUGUGACCACAGAAUGCUUUACGCCUUUCCUAAGUUUAAAGUUAUCGCGGCGUUGGUGCCGGGUCCUUGGGUAAUGGGUAUUAAUGCUGGCUAGUUCCGGGCCAAGGGGAUUAGAUGAUUGGCAAUCGGAAACCACGUGCGGAUUACGGGUCACCUUUGAACCUCCUGUUAAAAAAAAAAUAAAAAACCUUUUAAUUUUAUAUGAGGAUACCCAAAAUAUAUUAUUUUACUAAAUUACUAGGUAAAUUGUUCGUACCGAAGCAAAUCCAAAUAAGCCAAAUAGUAUAUACUUUUUAAAAUCUGAAAUAGUAUUACUAUCACUACUUUUAGUCAUUUACCUAAUUUAUAAAACUUACAAAUACACAAAAAAAUUCAAACACUUCGAGAGAACCAUCAAAUAAUAAUAUCAUCGUACAUAUAAAACUAGUAGGCCUAGAAACUAGAGUAUAGAUUACAACUUCACACUUCCUCAACAAAAUAGAAACGAUUACAUUCACAUACCAACGAAUCGAAGAAUAAUCCUAGCUUCACAUAAAAUAAAAUUUUCACAAAAAUAUUUAUUGAUUUUUCCAUUUCAUUUUUUUUUUUUUUUGUCACUAAUUUUUUCCAUUUCAUAAUUACUAGUAUUAUAUAGCCCCACACUGGCACUCAUCUUCCUCAGUCCUCACAGGCUUCAACGUGUAGGUAAAGAAAGAAAAAAAUAACAAAGCAGUGCAAUGUACUCUGUUUCUUCCUCUUCCUUCAUCUCUACAUUCUCUCCUAAACCCUCUCUUCAUCUUCGCCACUCAUCUUCCUCUCGUCUUCUUCCCCGUAUCAACUCCACCGUCGUCGAAGAACGAUCCCCGAUCAUUAACCCAAGCGAAAACAAUGGCCCUCCUCAUAAGAAACUCUACACUCGGACUAACCGCAACGCAGUUGCAUCUCCGGCGAAACUCCGACCAGAAACGACUCUCGUAGCAGCCCUCUUCACCACCGUAGAAGAUGCCAUCAACACGUUCAUCGAUCCACCGUCACGUCCUUCCGUAGAUCCAAAACACGUUCUCUCAGGUAACUUCGCUCCUGUUCUCGACGAGCUUCCUCCAACGGAAUGUGAGAUCAUCCACGGCUCUCUUCCUCCGUCUCUUGACGGCGCUUACAUCCGUAACGGCCCGAACCCACAGUUUCUCCCUCGUGGCCCUUACCACCUAUUCGACGGUGACGGCAUGCUUCACGCGAUUCGUAUCCGUAAUGGUAAAGCCACGCUCUGUAGCAGAUUCGUCAAGACUUAUAAGUACAACGUCGAGAAACAAAACGGAGCUCCCGUGAUACCUAACGUGUUUUCGGGAUUUAACGGCGUGACGGCGUCAGUUGCUCGUGGAGCUUUAACGGCGUUAAGGGUUUUAGCGGGACAGUAUAAUCCGGUUAACGGCAUUGGUUUGGCUAAUACGAGUCUAGCGUUCUUCUGUAACCGUCUCUUCGCUUUAGGAGAAUCUGAUUUACCCUACGCCGUACGAUUAACGGACACUGGAGAUAUUGAAACGAUCGGACGGUUCGAUUUCGACGGGAAGUUAGAGAUGAGCAUGACAGCUCACCCGAAAACCGAUCCUGAAACCGGAGAAACGUUCGCUUUCCGGUACAGUCCGGUUCCACCGUUUUUAACGUUUUUCCGGUUUGAUUCAACCGGGAAGAAACAAAGAGACGUUCCGGUUUACUCCUUGACGUCUCCAUCGUUCGUUCACGACUUCGCGAUCACGAAGAGGCACGCAAUCUUCGCGGAGAUUCAGAUCGUGAUGAGGAUGAAUAUAAUGGAUCUGGUGCUCGAGGGGGGAUCUCCGGUUGGUGCUGACAACCGGAAAACGCCGCGGCUCGGAGUGAUUCCUCGUAACGCCGGCGAUGAUUCGGAGAUGAAAUGGUUUGAAGUUCCUGGAUUCAACAUCAUUCACGCUAUCAAUGCUUGGGAUGAAAACGAUGGAACCACCGUCGUUUUGAUCGCUCCGAAUAUUAUGUCCAUCGAGCAUACGUUAGAGAGGAUGGAUCUCGUUCACUCCUUGGUGGAGAAGGUGAAGAUCGAUCUCGUCACAGGAAUCGUGACACGUCAUCCGAUCUCCGCGAGGAACCUCGAUUUCGCGGUGAUCAAUCCGGCGUUUCUCGGGAGGCGGAGCCGGUACGUGUACGCGGCGAUCGGGGAUCCGAUGCCGAAGAUCUCCGGAGUGGUGAAGCUCGACGUGAGUAAAGGCGAUCGGGAUGAUUGCACGGUGGCGCG